GGUCGUGGGAGUGGGUGCGAGUGCAGACGAGGUGCUCGACGGAAUGCUUGCGGUGGUGGUGGCGCGGGCGCGCGGUGGGGGUUGGUGCGGGUGCGAGACGGGGGUCGUUGGGUCGGGCUGGGUCGUUAUGGGCCGGGCUGGUGUUAGAUGGCAAGGGUUCUAACACCGGUCUCAGUGCUGGUUUCAUCAGCAAUUAUGAACCUGCCACGUAGGCAUUUUUGUGACACGGUACUAGAUUAAUGAAGGGAGAGGGGGAGCGUUUCAUCCAGGAUCUCCGCUGCGCCGGUGGAAAUCCUGUGCCUCGCCAUUCCUUCCUCCCGCCAAUGUCCCGCGCGGCGAGUGCAAAUCUCCCAUGCGACAAAUUCUUCGCGCUAUCCCCACCCCAAUUUCUGAGUUUCUCCAGCGCACAUAUAUGGAAGCCCCUUCCAAUCUUGAUUUUUUUCCUAUCGAAUCUCAGCUCCGCCCCCUUCCAAUCUCGUCUCCUCCCCCUUCCAAUCUCUGACGGGAGUGGCGUUGGUGCCUCCCUAGCGCCUCGUCGUGCUCCUAUGGCGAGCAAACAGAAGAAGGGUGGCUCAAGGAACAGACCGGUCAACCUAGAAUCGCCGCCGCUGCCACCAUCUUCUAUGCCACCACCAUCUGCUACGCCCCUUGCAUGGCCGCCGCAAGCUGCUGCGCCCUUACCGCCAUAUGCAUCAUGGUGGCCGGGAUCUGGUGCUGGGAAUCUUGGAGGUCAAUCCACUUCUAUGAAUCCAUGGUAAGAUUCCUCAUGUUUUCAGUUUGUGCAUCGGUAGGGAACCACUCAUAUGUUCUGCUUGAAGUACAAUAUUUUGGUGAUUGGUGGGUCUGUCGAGUGCAUUGGAUGUCUAGCGUAUUUUUUCUCUUGUAGUGAUUGUAACAUAUUUGCAUUGAGUUAGAACUGACACACAAGUUGAUUGAACUUUGUGAUUGCAAUCGGAUUCACUGUCUAAACUUGAUAUAUGCUGCCCAACUUAAUAAUCUGGAUGGAAAUUUCUUGCUUUUUAAGGUCCGUAGACAACAAUGUUUUCAUUAUUUACCUCAAUGAAUAUUGGAGUUGUUCAUCCUUUGAUUCACCACAAGAUAUGAACUCCCCUGUUGCCUUAACCAUGAUAGCUACAGACUGGCAGUUAUUUUGCACAUUUUAUCAUGUUCAUAAAUCUACCGCUGCAACCAAUUGGAGAAAAUUCCCAUUUUGUUGGGGUUGCAAAGAGCAUGAAUCCACCAUCUCUAGCAACUACACCAACAGGUAGGGUCAGUAUUGACAUUGAUGUCGAUGAUGGUGUGGAAGCAAGUAGGGGUGUGAAGAAAAGAUUUUGGUCACAUGAUGAGGAAGUGAGACUGGUAAUUACAUGACUCCUGUCCAUAUGAUGGUAUACAUGAAGUAGUUCUGAACUGGCAAGUGCUUGGCUGAACACUUCUAAAGACCCUAUUCAUGGUAAUGACAAGAAAAGUGAUUCAUUUUGGGUCAAAUCACUGAGAAAUUUAACAAGGACACCCAACCAGAUCGUAUUAGGGAUACUAACCAACUGAAGGUCCACUGGUCACGGCUAAGCACAGUGAUUAACGAGUUCAAUGGCUAUUGGAGUUCGGUCUGUAAAAUGAAUAAGAGUGGAUACUCAGACGACCAACUGAUGGAUGAAACACAAAGGAGGUUUACCAACAAGAAUAAAAACCCUUUUGCACAUGUGCACUGGUGGAGGAUCCUAAAGAAUGAACCAAAAUGGUAUACUUCUAUUGUUCAGGCAGAGAAAGAUAAAAGCAAGACUAUAGAAAUUGAUGACAGAGGGGAACCACGCCCUAUCGGCAGAGAAGCAGCCAAGCCAGAGCACAAAGGAAACGAAAGGCUGAAGAACUUAUGGAUGGUAUUGUCAUUCUCGGAGAUAACAUAAACAAAAUAGUUGAAGUUGCACAAGAGCGCAAAAAGGAGCGAGAAAAAGCUUCAGAGGCACAGCUUGAGAUCUCAAGAAUUAACCUGAAGGUUGUGAAGGAGCAAAAGGAAGUAAAAUUGCUACAAGCUUACAAUUCUCUGCUGAUCCAGGACACAAGUAAUAUGACUGAUGAAGAAAAGGCUAGCCGAGCGAAGAUAUUGCAAUGGAUGCAGAAGAAAAUUAUGGCUGCUGAUGAGGAAGCAUGAGGCAUAUAUUCUCAGGAAGUCACAUGAUCUGCAGGUCGAUGUCUUGUAAAAUGAGUUCUGUUGCACUUAUCUUUUUUUAGAUCAAGUAUUGGUCACUUUUGUUUUGGUGAAUGUGAUUGUGAACUGCAUAUGUAAACUGAAUUUGAAGUGCAUUUCAAUUUAUCCUAUUUCUGCUCCAUUUACAUGUGAA